GGUUGUAGCUCAGUGGCAGAGCACUUGCCCAGCAUGCAUGAGGCACUGGGUUCGAUUCACGGCACCA
rnacentral:tRNA from 1 species